UACGGGGGACUAAUGUUCGUGACUCAAUUUUCCCUUUUAAUAGAGGGAAUACGAGCGUGCUAAGGCUAGAAAGCCAAACUCAUCCAUAUCCCAUAUUCAAGGGGUAUUUCCUAAUCUAAUCAAGCAAAUGCACUACCCUAGUUCUAAUGCUUAUAUGAAAUGCAAGUCUAAUGUCAUGUUUCCAUACAAAGGGGUGAAGAAUAUACAUAUACAAGGGGAAAUAUGGAAUAGGGGAUAUAAAUAGGAAGUAAUAUGGGAUAAAAAAAAUGUAUAUAUAAGAAAAGUGUCAUGCAACAUGGAAAAGACCCUAAAAAGCGAAACAUGCAUGAGAUGAAGUGAUUUUAUCACACAAUCAUGAUCUAACGCUCGAGGGGCUCCUAAGGGUCUAGCGUUGGACUAGCACAUGCUACAAUUUCCCACUAGCAUUGGACUAGUGAGAAAAAUCAGAACAAAGGGCCACAACUAGCGUUGGACUAGUGUGGAUUCGAGAAAUUGACCACAACUAGCAUUGGACUAGUGUGGUGACGUCACACAUUGGUUACAAUCAAAUAAAUCAUGUAAGACCUAAUAAAAGCAUGUAAACACAUAAAUCACAUAUAGCACAUAACACAUAAGCAUGAUAUCUAGAUGGAAGACCCUAAGAAAGCGAUAACACAUAGCACAUAGAUAUGCAAAACACACAUCAAGCAAAGAAAGCAAACCAAACCUAUCUAUUACAUUGGGGGGACGCCCUACUACAAUCUAAUGGGGGAUGAAUAAAAAGAAAAUAAUAAGCGAAUAAACCCCUAACUAUUACAACUCGGCAUUUAAAUGCCCUUCCAAAUAAUCAAAAAUUAAAAUGAAAUAAAUAUACUAAAUUAAAACAAAUAAAGCGAAUAAAUAAAUAAAUAAAAUGAAAACAUUUAAAAGGCAUGCAAUCAAGCACAUAAAGUCACGUAAGUGCGCACAUAGGAUCAAAUAAAGCAAAAAUAAGGGAUAGAGUGUACCUCGCUUGAGUUGGAGCCCUAAUGGAGUGAAAUUACUUAUUUACCCUCCAAAAUAAAAGAAAAGGUCAAGGCAUCACUUUAAGCAAGCAAUUACAUGAAAUAAACAUUAAAUAUGAAAAAUGAAAAUUAAUCACUAAAUUGAGUCAAUUAAAGUAUUUACAUAAAACAAAACAUCCAUAUGCAAGAAAUUAAAGCAACAAGGACCCAAUUAAAAAAAUCAAAAAGUUUGAAAGGGCCUAAAAUAAAAUACUAGAAUUUAUGGCUUAAGAUGAGACCUAUCAAUGCUAAAACUUCACAAAAGAUUAAUGAAAAACUCAUUUGUUGUGGUUAAACAACAAAAUUAGCUAAGGUUUUAAGCAAAUGGAAAUCGAAACUAUAAUUCUUCAAAAUCAUUAACUUUUCACUAUUUCAUCCUAAAAAUCAUAAAGAAUCUAUCCAAGAAUCAUGUUAAGACAUGUUAAAGAAAAAAGGCAUGUUUGGAGGGAUACAAUCGAUUAAAUUAUUCAACUAAUUGGGCCAAAAUCGCAUUAGCUAAAAACCCAAGGGACUAGAAUGCAAUUCCUGGAAGAUUUUCAUGCAGUUAGCAUGCAAAUGUUACGGAGAAGGCUUCUGCAACAACAAACUAUCAGCACCUUCGUUCAAAUGUGGAUUCCAGACAAACUUUGAUUAAAACCUUUUCAUCUAAACUUCAAAACUUAAAUUAAGCAACAAGACACAUAUCUUUCACAUCCAAACAAGCAAAGCUUAGAAGGAAAUUAUGCAAGUUCUUAAGAAUCUUUCUUUUCUACACCAUUCCAGCUGCAACUUUCUUAGGCAAUCAGAAAUUUGUUUUCAGCAAGCAUUCGAUCCUGACUCAAGUGUUUUUUUGGACCCCAAACACGUAAAACUCAGCACCAGCGAUUCAACUUUCUCUUCACAAGAUUAAGCAUGCAACUUAAGUGCAAAAAUUCAAUGAGCAGCCACGGAGAAGGAAAUAGCACAGAAGGAUGCAGCAGCUUUUGCCGUAUACAUUUGGGCAUGACUACCGUUCACCCGUAACUUCCUUUCCAUUUCAUCAAGCAAACAAGCUCACCAACUACCAGGAUUAUCGACUCAAUCAAACACGAACUUUUUGUUGCAAGAUUAAGGUGGAAAAUCUGGUUUGACCGAUAACAAAAGAAAGAAAAGAAAAUGCAGCAAGAGAUUCUGCAACAACACAAGCAAGCUGCUGCGUUUUUUGUUUCACUUGGCCGAGACAUAUCUAUGCAAAGCAACCCAAGAAAAUUCCAACGAAUUUGGUAAUUCACAAGUUCGACUGGAUAUUAAAAUGAAAUGCAGUAAAGACGCUAGGGAAGGGACUUGCGGUGAACACACACACAGUAUGUCAAUGAAAUACAAGAACAAAGAAUAGACUUUGGUCUGUGAAAUGCAAGUGAACGCAGGUAAACAUCAGACUGUCUCUCAUCCUUUGACCACAUUCGCUGGUCCUGAGUUUCAUAGUUUUCAUGUCAAAGAGACUCAAACAAACACCAAACUUUACUCUAGCAAUCAAGACACCCCAUAAUAAUUCAACAUCCAAGCAUGAAUAAGAACCCAGAAUUUCUGGUUACACCGAAUAGAUGUUAUACGGAAUGGGAGGAGUUGAAGACUACCUGUUUACCGCCUUUGGGCUCGAAACUCCAACCUGGGUUCGAUGAAGAUAUCACUGCAGAUUCUGAUGAAGAAAUCUUCCUGGGUUUUCAGCCUUUCCCACGUUCUUUCUCGGAUCUAUUGGCUCCUCCCUCUCCCACGGAUUUUCUUUUUCUUUUCUCCCCGCGACUGAAACCCUUUUCUCCUUUCUUUCUUGUUCCCCGCAGAUCCUUUCUCAAUCUCCUAUCUCUCUUUCUUCCUCUCUUUUCCGGCCAUCCCAUCGCCCUUUCCUUUCUGGCUUUCCCAAACUCUCAGAUGGAACCCUCAGCUCUCGUUUCUUUCGAGCCUUUUCUUGCCCGUUUGGUUUUCCCUUUUCCUCUGUCCAGAAAACCUCCUUGUUCCAGCCGUUAGCUCCUCCUCUCAAAACCCUCCUCAACCGUCACCAGAUUUCCUCUGUUUCUAUUUUUCAGAUUUUCAACCGUCACUAGAUGCUCCGCCGUCACCCCAAUCUUGCUCACUGAUUUUUUCUCCCUCAGUUCCUUUCCUUAGCCGCCGCCCACAUAUCCUUUCUACCCCUUUUUCUCCCCCUAAUCUUCUGUCCGCUCUUUCUUUUAUACCCCAUGAAAACCUUAAACCCUCACAUCAAGGGUUGGUAAAAAACUUCAGCUCACCUCCUCCCUCUAGCCAUCCGAUUGGCUUUCCUCUCAAACCUUCUUUAUUUCGGAUGAAGCCAGGUGGAAUCGAUUAAAAGAUCCAGUGGUGGAAGAGAGAAAUGGAGCUGUGAUGCCUUUCCUCUGUACUCCCGUGCAUGAUUUUGCUUCCGAUAUAAGGCAAAGGCUUGGAUUAAGUGCAACUCACAGGCGUGAGCUUGCUCUCCCUUUUUUUUUUUAAUAAUAAUAAUUUAAUGAAAAUAAUAUAAACAAAAAUAACAUUUUAAGUAACAAUCAAAUACAACGAUCAAAACCAAGAAUAAAAAAUAAAAACAAAAUGUUAAAAAACUUUUGUGUUUGAUUGAUAAAUUUUCUUUUUUUUUUGAAUUAAUUAAUAAUAAUAAAACAAUUUUCUUAAUAGAAAUAAAAAUAAAAAUGAGCAAAAAACAAAAUUAAAACCAAAUCAACUAAAUAAAUAAAAAUAAAAAUAAAGUAAAAUAAGAUAGAAAGUUAAAAUUUUGGUGUCUACACCUGCCCAGCUCUCGCCGGGACUCAGUCGUUCACUAAAGUUCUCAAUUAAAUUACAAGAUAUAUCUCAAAUUUACAUCAAAUUCUCCAAGAAUUACAUAUCACAAACGCAGCUGAAACUAAUUCCCAAACGUGGAAUGUACACGUACAUCCAUUCAAGUCCAAACAUUCAUACAAACCCAACUAUUACACAAGAGAAAUCUAAAACUCAAACUAUACAGGAGAUAAUCCAUCCAGCCACAUGAAUAAGUACUACAAGCACUUCCUUUGCCUCGAGCCCUAUGGAGGUGAAUAAACAUUUUUGGGGUGAGCUAGAAGCUCAGGGAGUAACCAGUCAAAAUCAGUUUCAUAAUAGUUCAUUUCAAUGAUGUCAUGAAUCAGUAAUCAAAUGUACGUUUAUUGCUCUCGUGAGCCAGUGAAAUAAUAGUACUUAGACGGCCAACGCUCAAGUUGAUCAGUUAACAAUAAACAGUGAAACAGGAAUAGGGAUCCAUUUGCUCCAGAUAAACAGUAAACCGUGGUGGAGACGUUGGUUCUAAGCCCAAGACUUCCCAAGAACUCAUUUAAGCCAAAUCAUGUCAUGAACUCACAUGCAAGCACACAUGAUAUGCAAUCGAGUAAAUAAUGCAAGAAACAAUUCAUAAGUAGCUUUGGAAACAGUUUGGGGUCACUCACCUUCACGGCUUAGGAACCAUCCAUCAUAUAUCAUUGCCUUGGCCAAAUCCAAGCCCUUCAACUCAAACUCAAAGUAAUCAAAUGCUUUCAAAGAUAAGACAGCAUAUCCCCUUAAUUUCCUUACUUUUCCAUCCUACAAGCAACACCAUUUCAUCUCAAAUCAACCACAUACACAUCAUAGACUAUCAAAUACACCUUUCGGUACAAUAUCCAUAACUGAAGCUACACUUAUCGGAUUGAAAUGAAUCUUAUGGUGUUUCGACGCCAAGACAUAACCCUACAUUUCUUAUGAAAACCUCCAAAGCCAAAUCAUGCAUUUUCAGGGUCAAAAAAAGAAGUUUCCACGAAAACAGAAAUCUGGGCGCGAAACAGGGUUCAUGGACAGUCAAGGUUAUUUCGUUCAUUUUACAGGAUACAGUGCUCGGAUUGAGCUGAAAUUUUUCACACAACUAGUUAACACCAUUUGCUAAAACUUUCAUGUUUUAACCUAAGCCUGAUUCGGUAUCUAACAUGCCCAAAUAAAUCCGGCCAGAACAGCGCAAAUGUAAACCCUAAACCUGGAAUUUCCGCACAAAACUGAAAUUUUCCGCAAAUAACCGCAAUUAACGCACAAGAGAGCUAUUUAACACCAUUUAGAACCAUCAAUUCAAGGCUAACCAUAUCCAUCAUAGGAAAAUAGAGAAAUCCCAAAAAAAAUAGAAAUUUAACUAACUUCACUUUAAUCCAAGAAAUCUUCCAUAAAAUCACCUCUUAAGCCAACACAAGUCAAUAAUAAACCAGUGUUAAGAACAAAGAAUGGAUUGCUAGACAUGAUACCUUGAAAUCUCAAGAAAGGUGAUGGCUUAGAGUUCUUCUUCCCAAAUUAGCUUCACAAACACCUUGGAAUCUCCUUAGUAAACAACUUUUAUGGAGUAAUUUGCAAUUCUAUCGGUUAGAACUCAAGAUUGGAGUAAGAAAUUGGAGUGAAAGAUGAAGAUUUUUCUCUCUCUCAUGCUCUCAAAGUUUCUGCCAUAAGAAGGAGAAAAUGGCUUGAUUUUUGGUCAAAUUUUGGUUUUAGUAAAGUUGAGGUAAGAUGGUCAAAAGUCCAACUUGAAUCACAAAGUGACACUUGUCACCUCUUUAAUGCAUAGCUAUCCUUUUGUCUCUCCAACACCUAUCCAUAUGGGUAACCUCUAAUUAUCUCUUAACACCUAGUAUAUUAAUCCCAGUAUACAAAACAUAACCUAAUUGGUCGAAUUUAUCGAACUUAACGCCACUAGCGGGUCCCACGUCCAAUAUACACUCUUUAUUUCUCAUGAACUAAUUUAUACUAGAAAAAUGAUUGGAAAACUAUAUUCAUUUAUAAAAGUCUCUGGAAAAUUUUGAUAAUAAAAUAAAGUAAGAAAAAUGCACGCGGAAAAAUAAAUAAAUAAAUAAAGAAAAUUUCCCAUUUCUUUUCUUUCGGGCGUCACAGACUCCCCCCCUCCCUUAAAAGUAUGUCGUCCUCGAUAUUCCAACUCAUACUAAUCAAGUCAAGAAAUCCCUCAAAAGUCAAACUAGCAUUUCCAAGCAAGCACGAAGAGUUACUUUAAUCCCACUUGUCAGAUUUUCAUUCCUACAAGAAAUCACUGAUAUGUCAAACCAGACCCACAAUCCGGCAUCCUAAACUUUAAGCCCAGGAUACACUACAGAGAUCUGAAGCCUAAGCUCUGAUACCACCUGUGACAGCCCCACCUCACCCUAAGGUGAACCAAAGGGUUCGGCGGGCCGCCUGCCCAGCUCUCGCCGGGACUCAGUCGUUCACUACAGUCCUCAAUUAAAUUACAAGAUAUAUCUCAAAUUUAUAUCAAAUUCUCCAAGAAUUACAUAUCACAAACGCAGAUGAAACUAAUUCCCAAGCGUGGAAUGUACACGUACAUCCAUUCAAGUCCAAACAUUCAUACAAACCCAACUAUUACACAAGAAAAAUCUAAAAAUCAAACUAUACAGGAGAUAAUCCAUCCAGCCACAUGAAUAAGUACUACAAGCACUUCCUUUGCCUCGAGCCCCACUACAAGAAAAAAGGUCAUUAGUGACAACAUUUCUUUGUGACGACAAAAAGUUGUCACAAAAUGAGGUUGUUUAGUCACGACUUUGAAGGUUGUCACAAUUGACUCAAAGCAACUGAGUUUUCAGUGACAACCUUUAAUUAUCGUCACAAAACUAUUUCGCGCCAUAGGACUUGGAUGGCGCGAGAUUUGCGAUAGUGACGACUUGAUAAAUGUUGUCUGUAAUUCUACCGCUUUUUUUGACAACUUUUCAUUGUUGUCACUGUUUAUGUUUACUGACGACAAAUUUUUGUCAGUAAAACUAUAGCGUAGUUAGUGACAACAUAAGUAUCAUCACUAACUUGAACAUCUCUAAUGCAUUUAUUUAAUUGUGAGCCUCAAUAUUAAUUUAAUUUUUUUAAAAUUUGAUGAUUUAUUAACUAUGACUUUAUUUAAUUGUGAGCCUCAAUAUUAAUUUAAUUUUUUUUAAAAUUUGAUGAUUUAUUAAACUAGUCAUAGUUACUUAAAUAUUAAUUUAAUUUUUUAAAAAUUUGAUGAUUUAUUAAACUAGUCAUAGUUACUCAAUAGGUUUUUAACUGAAAAAAAUUAAUGAAAGUUUCUAAUUAGAACAACUAUAUAAACUAUUACAACUUGAGAAAUAAUAUAUUUACUAGUUCUUUGAAUUUAGCAAAAAAUUUUCAUCCAUUAUAAUUGUUUGAUAAAUAUGUUAAGAAGUAGUGAUUAGAAAUACAUUAGUAAAUUUAAUUAAAAUUUGAAGCUAAAAAUUCACUUGUAAUAUUAAUAUCGGAUCAACUGUUUGAUGUCAUAAAAAAUUAACUAUUUGAAGCAGAUCCAAGGUGCAUUUACCGCUUGUAAUAUUUCAAUAUAAUUUUCUCAUCCAUUAUGAAUAUUUUUACAAAAAUAUUUAAAAGUAGCAAGUAAUAUUAUAUUAGUAAAAUAUUAAUUCAACUAAAAUGUUGGAAACUAAAAAACGUUGAUUGAAAUUUUGGUACUGAACAAGGGGGAAAUCUAAGGAAUUGAAAUUUCAUUCAAAGUCAAUAUUUUGAGGAGAGGCGCGGAAACACUUAGAACACUUAGAACGAAAUAGCCAACACUACCAGUAUCCUAAAGCCAACACUACCAGUAUCACCGAACAAAACACACACUAUCAGUAUCCUAAAGCCAACAGCUAACACUUAGAACCAACCGUAGCACACUGCUCCUCGCCAUCUCCUUGCCGAAACAUCUCCUCGCCCGUCUCCUCGCCAUCUCCUAAUUGAUGUUGGCUCGGAAAUGAUCAAAUAGAAGACCACAUUUAGCAGCAACUCUCUACCAAAAAAGGUAUGCCGAUUCUCUUUUUCCUCCCUAAUUUUCCCCCAAAAUGUUUUGCCCUAAUUUUUUUUUCCCAAAAAUUUCAGUCCAGUUUUUUGGGUUUCAUUUGAUUUAUGGAUGGAGUCAUCUCCUCCUUUUGGAUUCUACUUACUUGUGGGUUUUACCCUUGUUAAUUUUUUGUCAACAUUUUAUUUCGGGUAUGUAUGGGUUCAUAACAGCCUCCUAACAUAUAGGCUGUGGCUACACAGAUUUAGCCCUUUCCUGAUCCCUUGAAUUCCUCAACAAUUGUGGCUACAUAGGUUGUGGCUAAUUGAGAUUGUAGACGAGUUUGUGUUUUGCAUUGCACAUAGUAGAUUGAUAUAUAGCUAUCAUGCUAAUUGAGCUUGUAGACGAGGCUGUGUUUUGCAUUUUAAUUCCUAUUCGCAAGAGUAUAUUGAAACAAUAAAAGUUCUUGAUAUAUAGCUAUCAUGCUCUGUCCAUGGCAUGGGGCCUGAAGAAAAUUGAUAGAGAUGCUUUGAAUGUAUUUUGGACUUUCCUUCUUGUCCAGAUGGUAAAUAACAAUUUAUGGAUACUCGCACCAAGAAAAGGAAAAAGAAAGAAAAAAUGUCUUAUGUCUAGGACCCAUAAUAACUCAAUCACAGCAAAUGCUGGAUGAAGACUGUCCUUAUUGAGGAAAUAUUUCACUCGUUUUCUUCUUAUUUUUAUCUUGGAUUUGUGUAUCAAUUUGCUUUCAAAGCAAAUCCAGAUUAAAAAAAAUGGGAUGUUGACUUGUGGAAAAUGUGAACCAAUUAAUGUUGAAUAUUGAUUUGAGUCCCAUUUCGGAUGGUUUUGUUCCUAUCCAUUUAUUAUCAUCACUUUUUUUUUGGAAUAAAGCAAAGUGGUCAUAUUGUUGUGCUCACAUUAUAGUAUUAUACUUAACAAAUUUGAAAAUUAGAUAACCUUCAUUGAAGAUUUUAUAAAGUGGCUUUAUGGAAAAUUCUUAACAUUUAUAACUGCUAAAUGUUGUGGUGUCGUGAAGGCACCAAGUUACCACGUUACAACUGGUAAGUUUACUUAUGUAAGAUGUAAAUUCUGUUAAGAUAGUAGAUGAAUUUUCGAUAUCUUACCAUUAGUAUGGCGAGAUUUAGUACUUACAUACAUUUCAAAGGGUGCACAAUACAACUCUCACUGAAAAUUAAUCAAAACUGCUAAUCAUCUGACUGCAAAUUUUGGACCCAAAAGUAAAAUUGUAGACAACCUCAAACACGAGAGAAGAACAGAUAAGCAUGAAAACAUUAAGCGGGAACAAAAGAAAAAGAAAAAAAGAACUAGACAAACUACUAUCAAACUUUUGACUGGGGUAAAAACUUUAAUGGUGCCUUUUCCCUAAUUGGUCUUUCCAGGGCCUUAGAUAACAAUGGCCACUAAUUGCGCUAGUUUGUUAAUGUGAUCUUAGUGCUGUCCCCAAAAACCUCAACUGAGAUCUCACAAGGAGCUGAACUUGCCUAAUUAAAGUAAGGGUUAUUUAUUCAUUAGAUACUCAUUAAGAAAUAAUUCAAGUGUUAAAUUUUAGAAAAUUAAAGUUAAACAGAAAAAUGCAUAAAUAUAAAAGAAAAUAAUAAUUGUGAAUAUGUAUAUUCAGAUGAUAAAUAACAUGUGAUUAAAAUAUUUUAACUAGUGUUUAAUGAGAUAAGAACACCUUUUAAAAUAUUCUACCUAGACUUAAUUAAGAACUAAUAACUUUAGAGGGAUACCCUUUUUAAAAUUUUUAUACUGCUCCAGGUAAUGAUAGCCAUUGAUUGAACUGGUUGUUUGUUACUGUGAUCUCAGUGCCAUCCCAGGAAAUCUCCACUGAGAUCUAAUAAUUAAAUUUCUCCCCUGUCCUUUUCAUUUUGUUGUCUUCUUUAUGAACCAAAAGUUUGUUUCCUUUUUGACAAGAACGUCCAGGUGUAUUUGUGACAUGUUUGACAGUUAGUUUCCUUUUUGUAUUUAUGAACCAAAUGUGUAGUUGUGACAUGUUUGAAUUUACUAAUAGCUGUGUUGUAUUUUGUUUAAUUUUUAUUAUUGUUGUAUGGGAAGAUUAAUUUCCUGUAUUGAGCUUAAUUUCCUAUAUUUAUUAUAUGUGUUGUCUUUGUAGUAUCAUGGUUGCGUAUUUUUUUGUGUUAGGAUCAACAGUGCUUGUGAAAAAACAUGGAUAGGAGUUGGAUGACAAUUAAAGAUUACUUGCAUCCUAGAUAUUUGGCAGGAGUGAAAGAAUUCGUUGAAUUUGCUUAUUUAGGCAAGGAUCCCACAUAUAAGCUCCCUUGUCCAUGUAAAGGGUGCAACAACUUUGAGGAUCAAACUAUGGAGGUCAUGAAAAGUCAUUUGUGUGGGGGAAUUGUUGAGAGCUAUACUAGGUGGGUAUAUCAUGGUGAAAGGUUUGAAGAUUCUGAUGAGGAUAAAAAUGAUAACAUAGUUUUAGAUGAAGAAAACAGUGAGUCAGAUGAUAUUCAAGAAAUGUUAAAUGACGUUGGUACUGCAAACUUUGGCGAGAAUUGGAGAAAUUCGGGGGAACAUAAUAGGGAUAUACCAAAUAAGCAAGAGGGGGAAGCAAGUAAGUUUCUUAGAUUAUUAUCUGAAGCUGAAAAAAGUCUCUACCCGGGUUGUGAUAAGUACUCAAAACUUUCCUUUGUUGUCCAUAUCCUUCAUUUGAAAACUAUGAAUCGGUGGACUUGCAAAUCCAUCGAUAUGCUGCUGAAAUUCCUCAUUCAAGUCUUCCCCAUGGCAUCAAUUCCUAGCUCAUACUAUGAUGCAAAAAAUUUAAUUCGUGAGCUAGGACUCAAGUGUGAAAAAAUACAUGCAUGUGAAAAUGAUUGUGCACUUUAUUGGAAAGAAAAUGAAAGCCUCGAUCACUGCCCAAAUGAAAAAUGUAAAGCACCUCGUUAUAAAUCCCCGGGUUCUAAAAUUCCUAGAAAAGUGCUUCGCUAUUUCCCCUUAAAAUCAAGGUUGCAAAGACUAUUCAUAAACAAGGAGAUAGCUCAAGAUAUGAGGUGGCAUAAAGAGAGACGCAUUCCCAAGGAAAACACAAUGACACACCCUGCUGACUCAAUAGCUUGGAAGGAGUUUGAUAACAGUCACCCAUCUUUUGCCGAAGAUCCUCGUAAUGUUAGGUUGGGGCUUUCAACUGAUGGUUUCAAUCCCUAUGGAAACAUGAAUAAUGCAUAUAGUAUAUGGCCUGUAAUCCUUGUUCCUUACAAUCUACCACCUUGGAAAUGCUUAAAGGACCCUUUUUUCCUGUUAUCAAUGAUUAUUCCAGGUCCUAAGUGCAUAGGAAAUUAUAUGGAUAUAUUUUUUAGGCCUCUAAUUGAUGAGUUGAAAGAGUUUUUUGACACUGGCUUUGAGACUUAUGAUGCAGCCGUGGGAGAAAAAUUUAUGUUACGGGCUGCUCUAUUGUGGACUAUAAGUGAUUUUCCAGCAUAUGCCUAUUUGUCAGGGUGGAGUACGAAAGGUUAUAAGGCCUGUCCUAUUUGUUUAGAUGAUACAACCAGUGUAUAUCUGAGAAAUGGAUUAAAAUGUUGCUAUAUGGGGCACCGACGAUUUUUGCCAGCGGACCAUAAAUGGCGCAGAGAAAGAAAGUCAUUUGAUGGCAAGAGUGAUCUUAGACAGCCUGUUAGAACUUUAUCCGGUGAAGAAAUCUUUGAACAACUUCAAGAGUUUGAUCAAAUGGUGUUUGGUAAGGCACCUGAAUUGCUUAAAGAGAAGAAAAGAAAAUGCAUGCAAAAUCAGUCAAAUUGGUUGAAGAAAAGCAUUUUUUUUGAGCUGCCAUAUUGGAGUACUAACAAAAUUAGACACAACUUGGACAUUAUGCAUAUCGUGAAGAAUGUGUGUGAAAUUUUGUUGGCUACAGUGAUGGGUACGGGACACAAAAAUAGGGACACUUGGCAAGCUAGAGAGGAUUUGAAGGAAAUGAGAUUGAGGGAAGAAUUGCAUCUUCAAACUCAAGGGGAUUCAAAGGUGAUGCCCGCUGCAUGCUACACUCUUUCACGCAGCGAAAAACAAAAACUAUGCCAGUUUUUGAGCUCACUCAAGUUCCCCGAUGGAUUUGCCUCAAACAUAUCUCAUUGUGUUAAGCCAAAAGAGUGACAAAAUUUCAGGGAUGAAGAGUCAUGAUUAUCAUGUAUUCUUGCAACGUCUACUUCCAUUAGCAAUUAGAGGCAUGCUGCCAAAGGAUGUUUCCCAAACUUUGGUAGAACUAAGCAAUUUUUUUAGGAAAAUUUGUUCCAGGACUCUUUAUGUAGAUGAGUUAGAUGCACAGGAGAAAAACAUUGUUGUAAUACUCUGCAAACUUGAAAAAAUUUUCCCUCCAAAUUUCUUCUAUGUAAUGGUCCAUUUACCUGCUGAAGCAAAACUUGCUGGCCUAGCACAAUACCGGUGGAUGUUCCCAUUUGAGAGGUAGUGUAAAGGCUAUUUUAAGACUGAAUCUUCUUUUGCUUCAUAGGGUCGUACUGCUGUGACAUCUUAUGGCUGCAUUUUUGUGACACAGAAAAAUGGGUCAAUACAAAGGUUAUGUGCACAACAGAGCUCGACCGGAAGGCUGCAUUGUUGAGCGUUACUUGGAUGAUGAAUGUCUAACAUUCAUUUCUAGGUACUUGCACAAUGUUCCUACAAUAUUUAAUGAACCAGAAAGAAAUACCGAACGCUUUGAGGCUGCUGGAAAGUUGUCUAUUUUUUCUGGAAUGGCUCGGCCUUUUGGGGCAGCAACAUUUUGUUGCUUAAGUGAAUCAGAGUUGAUGAAAAUACAUUUAUUCAUCUUGAAAAAUUGUGAAGAAAUUGAUGAUUACAUAAGGUAAUAAAUUUAUUACCUUAUGUAUAUGAGAAGUGUUAUAUGUUUAGUCAAUUAUAGAACUAACCGUAGCACAUAGAUAACUAAUAAUACUAUUGUAUAGGAUGCACAAAGAAUUGCUUCAGCAGCAAAAUGUGUCGAAUGUAGAGCAGAUGCACGAUUUAGAGUUUCCAAAGUAGUUUGAAGAUCGUGUAAGUAUGGAACAAACUACUAGAAAACUUGUGGUAUUUAUAUAGUUGUUAAUUUGUUCAGUCAUUCUAAUUUCUUAUUUGGGUUAUAUAGGUCACUUACAUGCAUACACAAGGCAGAUGCUGUGAUGAAUUGUUGUCUUUGGCCAAAGGACUGGAUUUUAGAGUGAUCAAAUAUCCUGGUUGUAAUGUCAAUGGGUUUAGAUUUCAUACCAAAACACGUGAGGUAGACAGAAAAACCCAGAAUAGUGGCAUUAUGGUGAAGGGUGAGCAUGCUGAUGUAGAAAUAAACUUCUAUGGUGCUAUUAUACAUAUCUUAGAGGUUGAAUACUCCUUCAGUCAAAGCCAAGUAGUUCUGUUCAAGUGUGAUUGGUGGGACUUGAAAAAUAGCUCAUGUCUUAAAAUAGACAAACACAGUAAUCUAAGCAGCGUCAAUUUGUCAAAAAAAUGGUAUAUAGACCAGCCAUUUGUAUUCGCUUCCCAAGCCGAACAGGUCUUUUACGUAAAGGAUAUGAGGCUUGGAGGUGAUUGGCAUGUUGUCGAGUCAGUCUGUCCACGUUCAUCAUAUGCUGUUCUUGAAAAGGAUGAGGAUAAAUCAUGUGAAGAAGAAGAGGUUUACCAAGAAGAUUAUCUUGAAGACCUAAUUGGGGUUCAAGAGAAUGUCGAUUUGUCUAACUUGAAAAGAGGUGAUAUGCUAGCUGAUGAAGCUGUAGAAACUGGCAUCCUAAAUUCUGAUUCUUCAGCUAAACAUGCCAGAAAAAUGGAUGAUUUUUUUGUUGAUGAUGAUGAGAUUCAGCAAUUGAGCUCGAGUGAAGAUGAAAGUGAAAAAUUUGUAGAAAGUGAUGACUAUGAGUCUGACUAAACGAUGUUGUAAAUAACAUUUUCAGUUUCUAUUUAUAGUUACCAUGUAACUUUUAGUUCAAAUCAAGUGUAUUUCUUAUCUUGAAUUAUUUUUAGUCACUCUUAUCUUCUAAUUUGCAAUAUCUAUUGUAAAAUACAAGGCAUAUUAAUUAAGUUCCUCCUUCGGGUGAGCAUGCUGGUAAUUGUACCUUGUCCUGGCUUUUUAGACAUAUUUAGUCUAAAUGCAUGGCUGAUUGAUAUCUUUUUAUCAUGUAGUUACAUGGCUGGGCCAGGGAAGAAAGGAAAAUGUCCUAUGCGACCAACUCGAGGUGCUGAAAUACCUAAUGCAGCAGAAGCUAGAGAAAAAAUAGGUGAACAGGUGAUGAAAAUUGACUUUGCUAUGUACUUGUACCUUCACUUCUUUAUACCAUUGGUUUUAAACAAUUAAGCAUCUGCCCUGCUGUGUUUUUCUUACUUCACUAUAGCAAGUUGGUGGCCCAAAAGGUAGUCUGGCUAGCAAUGCCAAUAAUGGUGCUGAAUUUAGCCUAUCUAGAAAGUCAGUUCAAAUUCGCCUAUUUGAUGAGACUGAGGUUAGUUCUUACUUUUGGUAGUUGGCAAUAUUUGAAAAAUACAUUUCUAAUGUGUAGUUGGCUGGAUUUUAGGAUCCUACUACCUCAAAUGGUCGCAAAACUGCUACAGGAUCAUCAAGACAUGAGUUGACAACUCCUACAUCUAUUGAGCAGCAAAAUACUACUCCUACUUCAGUACAAGUCGGAUCUAACCAGUCCAUUGGUUGUGGAAGUGACCGGAAUAAUGAGAGCGAUGAUGUUCAACAGAAUGAUACCGGUAUAUGAGAUUUACUUGUAAUUUAUAUUACACAGCUAAUUUCAUUUCAGAUUUUUCCACUGACAUUCAUAACUGUGUACUAUGUUUUGGGUAGGUGGUAUCAAUGUAACUAGGAAAAGAGGAUAUACUCGCAAUAUUGCACUGUCCAAGGAAAAGAAGGCCGGCAAAAAGGUAAAAGUCCAGGUCUCUGAAGUUAGUGGAAGAGUAAUUGGAGAAGGGGCACAACAGUACAUCUCAGAGGCAAGUUGUGUCAUUCGUAAAUAUGACAAAUGGAAAGCAGAAAAAUGGUCCAAACUCCAAGAAUCUGAUAGAGAAGGAAUGCUAAAACUUGUUAAUGUAAGUGAAAUUGCUUUGAAGGCUUGUUUUUCUUCUUGACUUGGUAACAACUAGUUCUGCAACAGGUCAUUUAUGCACUUUUUCUGACAUUUACAAUAAAUUUUUUACUCAUAUUUCAGAAUAGUUUUGCUUAUGAUGAAGGAGAACAUGUUAAGCCAGCACUUCUUAAGCAGUUAAAUACACAGUACAGAAGUCGACGAUACAAUUUUCACAAGAUUUUCAAGAAAUUUAGUACAAAAGAGGAAGCACUUGCAAAUCGUCCACAAUAUGUUGAAGAAUCUGAUUGGAUUUACCUUUGUGACUAUUUCUGUAGUCCAAAUUUUAUGGUAUAGAGGCUGACUUUUGAUCAUUUACUAUUGUUCUUUCUCAUGUUUUUUGUGUGUUAAAUUUUGAUCAUGGCUGAACUUGAUAAGUGCAGAAGAUAAGUGAGAGGAACAAGAUCAAUAGAUCAAAGCAAAAAACUGCUCAUACAGCUGGAACAAAAUCCUUUCUUCGUCAUAAAGCUGACCGGGUAUUUGAUUAUCUUGAAGACAUGUCUUUUGGAUUGUUUAGGCAGGUUAUUUAACUUCUUAUUGUAACAGGAAGCACAAGAAGGGAGGGAAGUUGGACCAAUAGAACUUUAUGACAUCACCCAUUACAGCAAGAAGAAGAAUGCAAUGGUUGACGAAACAUCUGCUAUGAACUUAGUAAGAAAAAUGGAAUUGGUACUCUAAUAUUGUUGUACAACUCUUAUGAAAGUCUAACUUCAGAAUUUACCUUUGUGACAGAGCAUGAUGAAGGAGAAAAAGUUGGAAUCUGAAUCCAGUGGUGCAAAUAGGACUGAAGAAGACAUUUCCAUUGAAGUAACUGGACGUGUAACCGGAUACGUACAUGGCCGUGGUCCCUCCAAAGCUGGAAUAAUUGCCCAAAAGCUUGCAGAGAUAGAUGAUUUCAAGAAAAGAGCAGAACAAGCGGAGAAGCGCUCAGCUGAGUUGGAAAUAACAGUCCAAUCUCAACAACAACUUAUGGAGAAGCUUGUGAACCAGCAAAGUGAAAUGCAGAACCAACAAAGUGAAAUGCAGAACCAACAAAGUGAAAUGCAAGAUCUCCUUAAAUCUUUGAAAGCACAACUGCAAGCCAACAAGUAAGACGAUGAAGGCACAUCUGAACGAACUGAUUGGUAAGCAAUUUUCAACUAUAUAUACUUGUCUAAAUAGAUAUAAUGGCUGCUAUGGUUUAAAGUUAACAUAAGUUAUUGCAAAUUAGUUAUUGGUAGGUGACAAUAUUAACUUGUAAUAUCAAGAAUGAGGAGGGACAUUUAAGAAUUACUUCUGUCAACACAAGGUUCUAAUCAGAUGGUGUUUUGAUCCUGGGAGUACAUUUGUGGCUUUAUCAUAGCUUUGUUAUCAUGAAACAAUAACAUUACACAAAAAAAAGCUUCAAUAGUGUUUCUGUUUCAUGAUAUUAAUUUGAGGAGCACAGAAGGGCUAAAGAAUAGAAAAGAUUAUUAUUGUCAUUUGGCCAAUGAGUUAGCUAAAAACUUAAAAUAUUGUCAUGUUUAAGAUGUUUUAUGGUCAAGAUACAGAAACGCUUGCAUCUUGCAGGUUUCAAAGGUUCAUGGCAAUUCUGGACCUGUCUCUCCCUUUCAUUCUUGUGGGUGCCACUUAUUAUUCUCAGUGUUUUGAACACAAACUAGUGUAGUGUCUAUGUCACUACUGGUCGUUGUGGAGAGAGUAGGAAGAUUUGAUAUCUGCUUACUAAUUUAGGUUAGGAAUGAACAGCAAAAACAAAAUACUGAUUUAGCUUUUUGAAUACUUGCUAAACAUUAAUGUCAUGCAAUUUCCAGUUAAGCCUAAUGAUUUGCUAUGUGGUGUCCUGAUUCUAGUUUUUCUGUUUUGCAAUGACAUUUAGGCUUUAAAGCUCAGACGGAAAAUUUGAUGGCUCCUAAUUACCGCCUUUACUCUGGAAAAUCCUUUCUUUCUUGGUUGAAUUUUAUCAUGGCACUGUCUUCUUCAUUCCCUUUGUCUCUGCUGACCAAAGCUUCUGAUUUCUUGUUAGAAAUAUGCUGCAGAGAAUUUGCUGUUCUGUCUCAGACCCUUCGUUUCUGAAAUUAGCUCCUACUUAGUUGCCAAAAACUGUUGUUCUGAUGAUAUGUAAAGUUGCAGAUGGAAAUGGUAAAGUAAUUCAAGUAAAGAACUAAUUACUAGUAAAUUAGCAAACAUGAACCUGAAGAGGACCUAAUUGUAGCGUUGACAGAAUAACCAUCUUCAAGAAGCCUUUUGAUCAACCAUAAUGCCAAAAAGUCCAGUUCCACCUGUUACACAUACUCUCCCCUUCUCCAUCUUCUCCCCUUCCAUUAAUUUGUGUCCGUCUAGCCUUUAAUACCAGUAUAGUACUGUUUGGUCUCUCUGCAGUGGAUUGUCAGUUUCAACUUGAAGAAUUAAUGUAUUUCUAGUAUAGUAUUUCACUUGAAGAAUACCAAUAUAGUACAUGCGAAAUGUAUUUCCUUCAAGUAGUUAAAGGGAAUCUUCCUUGUUAGUUAGACUGUUGUGCUGAGUCAACAAUCAAGUAGUUAUUUUGUUAUUCUUGAGUUGUAUAAGAAUGCAGAAAUCUGGAUUGGGCAACAUGGAAAAAUCAUUUUGAAUAAUAUCUCUCUUUCUUCUUCCUCAAGUCUAGUUUCUCUCCCCCUUAUCACUCUAUUUCUACUGCAAUUGCUGCAUUCAUUACGGUGGUAUCAGAUUAGUGAAUGCUUGUUACUUUUGUUGUUUAUUUAGCAAUUAGAGACUGUUUUGCUUUUGUCACCUGAUAACUUUACUAAUAACUUUACUACUUUAUUGCAGAUAUAUUGCUCAUUUUGGAGGUUUCGAAGAAGAUUAGCAGUACAGCUUACAUGUCGACUCAAAAACUGUGGUUAUAGUGCUGUCUUAAGUUUAGAAAAUGUUUUAGAAGCGCAGGAAAUGUUUUGGGACUUGGAAUAUGUUUUUUAGUGCAGCCUUGACUUAUAUGAGUAGUAUUUGUUCUACUCAAACUUAUGAAAUUAUUUGUACUAUGAUGUUGCACUUAUUUAUGACAUUUGAAUAUUUAAUAUAUUAUUUUGGCAUAUUCUAUUGUAACGGGUGCCUACAUUUGUUAUUUAUUAAACAUUACUGAUAUUUUCAUUUUUUAGAUAUUAUUGUAGUAGGAAAGUCAUGUGUAAGGUGUUGUAAAUGAGUAGUAUUUUUCUAGGCAGGAUGUCUUUAUUGACAAUUGUUAUUGUCACUUAAUCAAAACUGUCUAUUGAUAAGGGAUUGUUGCCACGGUUGAUCAGGGGUUUAUUGACAACAAAGUUGUCACUAAUUCCCCUAUGCCCUCACUAUCGUCCCUUCAUGCAUCACUUGCAUCACUGACAAGAGAAGGUGUUGUCACUAGAUUUAUAGCUUUUACUGAUGACAUAUGUUGUCAUAAAAAGUUUCAUUCACUGACGACUCUAAGGUCGUCAUUGUAUACUUUCAUCUUUUACUGACGACAUAGAUUGUCAUAAAAAAGGUUAUAUUUACUGACGACUUUAAAGUUGUCACUGUAUACUUUUACCGACGGAGAUUCAGUGACGGCCUUGCGACAACUGAAAUGUUGUCAAUAAUGGUCAUCAGUGACGACUUUUUGAUUAUUUGUGACGAAAAGUAGUUAUCACUGAUGACCAAAAUUCUUGUAGUGCCCUAUGGAGGGGAAUAAAAUAUUUUUGAUGUGAGCUAGAAGCUCAGCGAGUAACCAGUCAAAAUCAGUUUCAUAAUAGUUCAUUUCAAUGAUGUCAUGAAUCAGUAAUCAAAUGUACGUUUAUUGCUCUCGUGAGCCAGUGAAAUCAUGGUACUUAGACGGCCAACGCUCAAGUUGAUCAGUUAACAAUAAACAGUGAAACAGGAAUAGGGAGCCAUUUGCUCUAGAUAAACAGUAAACCGUGGUGGAGACGUUGGUUCUAAGCCCAAGACUUCCCAAGAACUCAUUUAAGCCAAAUCAUGUCAUGAACUCACAUGCAAGCACACAUGAUAUGCAAUCGAGUAAAUAAUGCAAGAAACAAUUCAUAAGUAGCUUUGGAAACAGUUUGGGGUCACUCACCUCCACGGCUUAGGAACCAUCCAUCAUAUAUCAUUGCCUUGGCCAAAUCCAAGCCCUUCAACUCAAACUCAAAGUAAUCAAAUGCUUUCAAAGAUCAGACAGCAUAUCCCCUUAAUUUCCUUACUUUUCCAUCCUACAAGCAACACCAUUUCAUCUCAAAUCAACCACAUACACAUCAUAGACUAUCAAAUACACCUUUCGGUACAAUAUCCAUAACUGAAGCUACACUUAUCGGAUUGAAAUGAAUCUUAUGGAGUUUCGAAGCCAAGACAUAACCCUACAUUUCUUAUGAAGACCUCCAAAGCCAAAUCAUGCAUUUUCAGGGUCAAAAAAAGAAGUUUCCACGAAAACAGAAAUCUGGGCGCGAAACAGGGUUCAUGGACAGUCAAGGGUAUUUCGGUCAUUUCAUAGGAUACAGUUCUCGGAUUGAGAUGAAAUUUCGUAGGCAAAUAGUUAACUCCAUUUCCUAAAACUUUAAUGUUUUAACCUAAGCCUGAUUCGGUCUCUAGCAUGCCCAAAUAAAUCCGGCCAGAACAGGGCAAAUGUAAACCCUAAACCUGGAAUUUCCGCACAAAACUGAAAUUUUCCGCAAAUAACGGCAAUUAACGCACAAGAGAGCUAUUUAACACCAUUUAGAACCAUCAAUUCAAGGCUAACCAUAUCCAUCAUAGGAAAACAGAAAAUCCCAAAAAAAAUAGAAAUUUAACUAGCUUCACUUUAAUCCAAGAAAUCUUCCAUAAAAUCACCUCUUAAGCCAACACAGUCACUAAUAAACCAUUGUUAAGAACAAAGAAUGGAUUGCUAGACAUGAUACCUUGAAAUCUCAAGAAAGGUGAUGGCUUAGAGUUCUUCUUCCCAAAUUAGCUCCACAAACACCUUGGAAUCUCCUUAGUAAACAACUUUUGUGGAGUAAUUUGCAAUUCUAUCGGUUAUAACUCAAAAUUGGAGUAAGAAAUUGGAGUGAAAGAUGAAGAUUUUUCUCUCUCUCUUGCUCUCAAAGUUUCUGCCACAAGAAGGAGAAAAUGGCUUGAUUUUUGGUCAAAUUUUGGUUUUAGUAAAGUUGAGGUAAGAUGGUCAAAAGUCCAACUUGAAUCACAAAGUGACACUUGUCACCUCUUUAAUGCAUAGCUAUCCUUUUGUCUCUCCAACACCCAUCCAUAUGGGUAACCUCUAAUUAUCUCUUAACACCUAGUAUAUUAAUCCCGGUAUACAAAACAUAACCUAAUUGGUCGAAUUUAUCGAACUUAACGCCACUAGCGGGUCCCACGUCCAAUAUACACUCUUUAUUUCUCAUGAACUAAUUUCUACUAGAAAAAUGAUUGGAAAACUAUAUUCAUUUAUAAAAUUCUCUGGAAAAUUUUGAUAAUAAAAUAAAGUAAGAAAAAUGCACGCGGAAAAAUAAAUAAAUAAAGAAAGAAAUUUUCCCUUUUCUUUUCUUUCGGGCGUCACAAUUGUAGGUAGGGCUUUGAGGUUGUUCAUGCUUUUAAGACUAAUUGUUACCUUUUCACUCCGAGGUCACCUCUUCGCUUUGCAUUAAUGGUUCUUUUGACUAAGCAUAUGGCUCGUAACCGAGUCUCACUUGCAAAUUCUAUACUAGGUCUUGGAGUCGAGUCUUAAGUGUUUGCCUUGAUUGUUCUAGGAGGUGCUGACGAUUAAAGCCACACUUGGGAAUGAAACUUUUGAAGUUAUCCUUAUUUGAACUGGUGAGUGUACCACACCCUUGCAUGGUCGCUAUUUGAGUUAUCUGUACUUGAAAUCUAUGACAUGAAUGACUAUGAAUCCUGUUUAGUUUGAUUGAGACGAGAGUGUACUUUAUCACACUCGUUCUCUUGCAUGUGUUGUACAAGCUGAAAUCUAUUACUUGUACUUGUUAUGAACUUGAGCCUGUUACCUGCACUUGUUAUAAUGUCGUUUGGAAGUGUGUCCAACGACCUCCUUGUUAAACCUGAGCUCAAUCUCAUGGGGAGUUAAUUAAAUCGAGCCAUGCAAGGGCUUGGUCGAGGAAAUUGACAAUCCGUGGGUGCCUGUUUUUAUGGAAUCUUUGAGUAUUGAGACUCUUGAUUCCGGUAUACUCGAGUAUUACCAUUCCUAUUUCUUGUUUGGCGUUCGGGCCCGGUAAGGGGGUAUGAUUGGUGAACGGGAUUUGGCGUUAAAGUGGUGUUCUACUAGACUGGUUUCCUUAUUUGAAAGUUGACGGAGGGUCAACGUAGUCGGAUCAAGUACUGCAACGGGGAUUUGGCUCCUGAGAGCCACCUGUAUCCUUUCUAUCUAAGAUGUUUGGCUCAUCUCCUUAUUUGGUACACCUAUGUGAUUAAUUGAGCAUGAAGUUCCUUGGUUCUUGCCUGUUAUUAUUUUGGGUACCUCAUUGAGCGUAAGCUCACCCCCUUCCCGUUAUCUUUGUUUUCCUUAUAGGGAACAAACUAUGAACUCAUGGGUUUGGAAGAAAAGGGUCGAGCUAUUGUAUAUGAAAUUUUGUUAAGCUCUUUCGCAACCGAAACCUUAAUUGUAUUUUGAAUAGUAGGAAUACUUUGGCUUGUACUUUAGUUAAUUUGUUCAAGACUCUAAUGUAAAUAUAUGUAAGCAAGUAUUUAACCUUGUUUCUUAAUUGUAUUUGUUUGAGAUGCUAUGUUUUAUAGCUCUGGUGAAUGUUUAUGUCACUGUUGGGAAGAUCAGACGGGCGCGGCUUUUGAGUGAGGGAAGAAAGAAAAUUUUGGUGGUUACUGUUCAUUUUCGAUUCGUUUUUGUUUCCGUUUUCUUUCGUUGCAGUACUUAAUUAAAGCAUCAUUGUACCUGAAGGUUAGGAAUCAUGUCUCCAAUGUAAUAGUCGCCGAUGGAUUGUUUCUUGGGUUUCUAUCGUGCGUGCUCUAGGGUUUACAAGAUUUGACUCCGUAGUCCUGGCGAGAGUUGGGCAAGCGGUCCGCCGAAUCCUUUGGUUCGCCUUAGGGGAAGGUGGGGCCGUCACAGAAUCAGCCUUAGGAUAAAACAUGAAAGUUGUAGGAAAUGAAGUUUUAUAGUUUCCUGCAAAAUUUCAGCCCAAUCGGAGCAACAUAGCCUAUGAAAAGACCGAAAUACCCCUGCUGUCCUGUUUCUGUCCGAACCUGAUAAUCAGCUUCUGUAAUUGGCUAGUUUAACCGGGAAUACUACUGAUUUGGUUGUUGAUGUCUUCAUAAGAAUUAUAGCCUGGUAUCUUAGCUUUCAUAUGGCUUUGGAAUCACUUGAAUUGGAGUCGUAUGUGCUGAGAUAUGAUUGAAUGAAUCAGGACUGCUCAUUGAAUUUCACAGUAAGCUGCGAACUGGAAAAUCUGGGGUUGUUUUGGUAAAUUUGACCUAGAUACGUUGCAAACUGGACUGAGUGUCCUUCUUCAACAUUGUAACCCUUUCUAUUAGCUUCGAAACGGUGUAACUUGUACCCCAAACCGAUAAGUGUAGCUCCAGUUGUGACAGUUCCGCUAAGUAACGUCAAAACUGUCUUUUGCUUUUCAACUUAAACUUCAUUUCCGCACAUGUCCCUAGUUUGACCAUGCACUUAUACGUUAUUUUGGGCCUUAUUUUUGGUAGUGUGUGGGUUUGAUUUGACUCGUGUUCGAGUCUUAAUUGUGAUAUUCUUGUUGUAUAGGUCGUGCCGGUGACCCGGGACCUACGUCUGAAGCGAACUUGUGAAUUUGCUUACUUACCUUGGUGAGUGUACCAUUAUAUGGUCAACUGCUUAAAUGGUUGCUUAUACUUGUUAUGUGAACUUGAAUGGCUUGAAUGAGACGAGAGUGUAGUUUAUCGCUCUCGAUCUCUUAUCUGUAUUACUGUUACUGUCAAAAUGUGAAAUUGUCUACAUGUAUGAUUUGACAUGGCUGAGGGCUUUGCUCGACAACUUAACUAUGCUAUCUGAGCUCAUACCCCAUUGGUCUUUAAUCGAAUCGAGCGGGUAAAGGCUUGGGAGAAUCGAUAAGGGACCUUGGGUUCACUGCAGUCGAGUGGAGUGUUAACUCCUCGACCUUAUGGUAUACUCGAGUAUUACCCUCUCUGUUACUGUGAGGUGUUCGGGCCCGGUAAGGGGGUGAUCGGUGGAAGGGAUACGGAGUAAAGUAGGGAUCUACGGGAUGUUCUUCUCUUCAAAAGUUGACGGAGUGUCAACGGGUUGGAGAUCAAGUGCGGCCAGUGGAAAGUGGCUCUUGAGAGCCAAUUGUAUCCUUUCAUUGACUUGUUUUGUUUAUGAGCUUUGGAAUCACUAUGUGAUAAAAUGUGUUUAUUGGUGUGUCUUAUUGGUACCUCACGAGCAUAAACUCACCCUCGUUACUUUGUUUUCCUUACAGGGAUAUGAAUAACUUUUGAGGGAACUAUAUUGUUUUGAAGCACAAGUUGAGCUAGUUUUCAUAUAGUUUGAAUAUAUUCUUUUGUAAAGCUCCUCGAUGGUUGGAAAAACCCUAAAUGUACUUUGAUCUAAAUUUCUCCCUUUUGAUUUGUAAAUUACAAACGUAUGUGUAUCACACUGUUAAACCCUGUUCAUGUAUCCUAUGUGGUUUGGGAAUGUUUCUCCGAGGUAUAUGGUGAGAUCUACAUACAAUUGGAUUCUAGUUGGACGGUGAAGUGGAAGUCACUAUUCAUUUGCGAUUUUAAUUUUCGUUUCCCAUUUUACGAUUUUAAUCGCGUGAGCGCGCUAAUAUUUUCUGAAACAUUUUAGAUUAUAUACGACCGUCUUAGUAGUCCUGGCGAGAGUUGGGCAGGCAGUCCGCUAACCCCUUUGGUACGCCCUAGGGGAAGAUGGGGCUAUCACAGAUUAACCUUAAGUACAGGUGCAAAUAUAUUUUUAGUUGAGGUGGGCAAAAUUGAAACUAGAGUGCAAGUUGUAAAUUAACCCAAAACAAAUUAUUUGCAUGACGAUGUACAAUAGACAACAAUGCACAAUAUUUUUGUCCAAUAAAGAAAUGAAAUUACAUUAGAAAAGUGAUAGAAUGUAAUGGAGGGCAAAAAAUUUGAACUACUUGCAAAUUUCAAAAUUUUAUUUUAGGUUGAUCCUAAAUUAACGACAAUCAAGAAAUAAAUAUUGAACGCAAUAUAAUAAUAUCAAAAAAUUGUAAAACAAAUAUAUAUAUGUAUUUUUUGAACCAAGAUAUAGGGAUUUUGAUACUCAUAAAAGUUGAUGAAAUGAUUAACAUCUUCUAGGAUGAUCAAAGAAUGUGCAGAGCAAAUAAAAGAAAAUACCUAAAAAGCUAGGAUUGGAAAAGUAAAGAUCCAUAUCUGGUGGAAUGAUAUUCAUGUAGAAGUGAAAUAAUUGUUAGUAUGGAUUAUUACUAAUAACUCCAAACUUUUGUCAAUAAUAUCGUGUACCAAAUUUUAGUAUUUUUUCGUAAACCUGAUUUUUGGGAAAAAAAACCAAAAUUAGUAACUAAGUAGAAUGAUUAGAUUAAAAAAAAAAGAAAGGAAGAAGCAUGGUCAAUUUUGAUUGCAAACCAUAUAUUUCUUGCCAAAUUAUUUGAUGCAAUAUUCAACUCUUCCAACAUUUAAACAGAUGCAAAUUUCAACUCUUCCAAUAUUCAAAAAAUUUGUUUGUGAAGAAGCGCUGAGCUUCCCCGGAUCGAGCUGACCUGAUGAGCUCGGCGUGCUGAUGAGAAAAACGUGUCCAAGCCCUGCAAAAUAAAUGAGAAGAGGUCUAGAGGAUGACUAGCAGGGGAGCCCCGAGGUUGUCCCUGGGGGCACUCCGACGGUCAAGUUAGUCUUCCGGUGAGUGGAAUCCACGAGAAGUAAAACAGUUGGGGGUAAUUUGCCUACGGUGAGCGUACCUUGUGCAGUGGAUGUGCGUUACCAUUUAUACCUGCUGGUAAGUCCGACCUCCGUACGUUUCGGGACCUGCCCAGAAUAGUCUCAAUCCCGCGCCGAGGGGGAUCUUUCCCGCCCUCUGCGGGAUUGUUCUCUGGAACCCCUCGGAGCCCUAGCGGAGGUGUGCCUUAGGACAGUGGCCAUGGGCCUGGGGUCCGAGCCCAGCUCUGGCCUUCCUGGGCUGCCACGUGUCUCGGCCCAGGACGGGGUCUCUGCACUAGCCCCCUAAAUUAGGUAGGGCUUCCAGAAAGACUUAAUCUACGCCCCUGCCACGUGGGAGACCGGCGUCGCCCUGCUCUGCCAUGGCCACCUCAGGCACAGUGCAAUCACUGAAAAGAUGCGCUCGCGUCCUUUCGGUUGUCGCGUCUCCUCGGUUUCCGUACCGUUCUUAAAUGCGUUCACAUGGGGACGGUUCAAAUUCAAGCAGCCGUUUCCCCCCAUUUCACUCCCUAUAAAUAGGGACUGCCAGAUUUCCUUCCGACUCUAUUUGCCAUUUUCUUCUCUUCGCAUAUUUUCUUACUCCCGAAAUUUCCAACAGCAAGACUUUCGGCCUACAGUGUCCAGACUCCGGCGAUUCCUCCAUCUUUUCCCCAUUCUGUUCACCAGUAAGUCCUUUUUCCUCCUCCUUCGCACUUUCUUUUCCUCCUUUGCCACAUUCUGCAUUUUAUGUCGGAUCGUUCCGGCGUUACCUCCACCACAUCCCAGAUUCCAGCCCACCGUAGAGCCCCCAGAAUCCUCAUUUCUUCCUCGUCUUCGUCUUCAUCUUCAUCAUCUCCUCCUCCUCUUUCUUCUUCUUCUGAGCUUCCUAUACCCUCAAGCUCUCCCUUCCUGGGUGGUACUACUUCUCCCGCCGAACUGUUGGCAAAGUUCGGGGUGGGAAGGCACCCAGGAUCUGCUCUUCGGGGUCCCCUCUUCCGUGAAGAACUGGAAGGGGGAUUUCUUCUUUGUUAAGUCCACAAUUUUCCCCCUGAUGUGUGGAAGGUCGGGGAGGUCAAAGCCAACCCCUACCCGGAGGGCUUGGACUCCGAAGCCCUCAGCCAGCUGGUGAGCUCCAAGGUGAAGCUCUAUGCGGCCAAGUUCUCCACCGAGCAGAUUUCUGCGGCCGGGCUGAUGGGGACGUUGUCCGGGUACCCUGGAGAGGUGGUGCCCUCUCCUGCCGACCACGACGCCCGUAAUGCCGCCUCUGUGCUUAUGUAGUCCGCCGUUUGCUUCUUUCUUUCACUGUCCUGUUUGUGCUAACUUGGUGACAUUUGCUGCAGUGAGGAGGCUUUCCAAACUGUUGGGCGUGCCUUCCGAGCCGAUCACCCCGACUCCACAGCCAGAGGCCGCCCAGAAGACCUCCGAGGCCUCUCCGACUCCUGGGGGCAGCUCAGCUCCCCAGAAGGAGGCAUCCCAAUCUCAGUCCCCCUCCAAGCAGGUCACCAGCAAAAAGAAGGCGGCCGGGCAAAAGAGGGGCCGAGCUGUAUAUAGCUAGGUUUUCCUUUCCUUUUAUAGCUCGGUAGGCUUUGUAAUAGAUAGGUUGUUUAUACGUAAUUCGAAUGAAAGUUUUGCAAUUCUCGCCUGUGCCAAACUCUAGCAACCAAAGCGGUAUGCCGACCUCCUGGGUCGAGCACUAAAUUGAUCCAUUAAGGCAACGUGCCGACCUCCCGGGCAACGUGCCGACCUCUCUAAAAUAUCAUUCCACUGAGGCAACGUGCCGACCUCUCUAAAAUAUCAUUCCCUACAACUUUCAUGUUUUAACCCAAGGGCAAUUCGGCCUCUAACUAUGAGCUACAGUGCCGGGCAGAAUGUAAGAACAUGAAACCCUAACUUUCCAAAUUUCUUCCAAAACAGAAAUUUCCUGCAAUUAACCACUUUUUCCACCUUCUAGCUUCCUUAAAUAUCAUUUCCAAUCAUCAUACAUGAUUCCAUAAUAAUAAUCAUAUGAAAACAUAAAAAUCACCAAUAAUUAUAAAACUUCACAAAUUUCAUCCAAAAAUCACAAAUAACCACUAAAAUCAUCACUUAAGCUCACAUUAACCACUAAUUAAGCAUUAUUGAAGAGAGAAAAGGAGUUCCUCCACCACUCACCUUGUCAAGUCAAGAAAGAAGCAACUUAACACCUUAAGCUUCCAAACCACUUCACCACCAAGCUUAACUCCACCAAACUAAGAGGUUUUAUGGAGUAAUUGGAAGAUUAAUCGGUUUAAUUGAAAGAUUGGGCAAGAUUGAAGACAAGAUUGUGGAGAGUUUUCUUUUCUUUUGUUGCUUGAAGAGGCCGGCCAAGAGAGGGAGAAAAAUGGUGAAUUUUUGGUGAAUUUUGAUAUUAAUUUGGUAAAGGCAUGAAUAGUGGUCAAAAUGGCAAGAUUUAAUCACAUGGUGACACUUGUCACCCCAUUAAAUGCAUGAAUAUCCUUUUGUUCCCUCUCACUCUAAUCUAUAAGGUAUCCUCUAAUUAUCUCCUAGCACUCGAUAAUUUAAGCCCAGUAUCCAAAACUUAACCUAGUUGGCCGAAUUUUUCUGAACUUUUCGCCUUAGUGGGUCCCACGUCCGGUAUACGCUCUUAAUUUCUUAAAAACUAACCAAUACUAGAAAACUCACCUAAAAACUAUAUUUACUCAUAAAAAUUAUCUAGAAACUUUUUGAAUAAAGAAAAUGCAGAAAACAUGCCAGUAACCCGAAUAAAACCUAGAAAAUGGGAAAAAUUACGGGUUCUCACACUCUCUCCCCCUUAAAAGAAUUUCGCCCUCGAAAUUUCUCACCUUAACUCACGAAAAGUUCAGGAUAUUUCGUUUGCAUCUCUUCUUCCACUUCCACUUCUCAGAUAGCUUCUUCUAUCUCAUGAUUUCUCUACUUUUCCCGAGCGAAAACAACUGCGACUAACUCCAGAUCGUGGGUUGGACAGUUUUGUUCGUGGGGUUUCAAUUUCUUAGAGGCAAAAAAAUAUCACAUUCUGGUUUUGCGUCAACACACACCCCAAACCUUCCCUCCUACCCAAACGCGGCAAUCCUUACAAACCAUACCAGUGCUCAAACGAUGUUUCCCCAUAGGAGUACUACUUUCAGGUCGUAGGGUAGACGAACAGGUUUUGUAUCUAUUCCGUACAUAAAAUUGGGGUUGACAAAUGAAUGAGUAACACCGGGAUCUACUAAGAUUUUCGUAAAUCGGUGAAAUACCGAAAUCGUACCUUCCUCAAUUUCAGAAAAAUCGGGGACCUGUUGUGGCUCCAGUGAAUACACUCGAGCUGCUACCUUAGGUUUGGUCCCCUCCUCCUUGGCGGGUUUGGAAGUAGUCCUCGUCGAUUGCUGACUCCCCUUUCCAUCUCGUGAUAGGACUGGACAAGUAGCGAGUUGAUGAUUUGCACUUCCACAGCGCAAACAUUUUCCCUCCUUCUUCCAGCAAUUGUCCUCCGAGUGGUUUGACUUUCCGCAAUACCCGCAAGGUCCGCGUGUUGCCGAAGCCGAGCCUCCUCUCUGGCCUCUCCCCACUUGGACGCCUCGUGACGGGCCCUCUCGUGAUACUUCCGGCAUCCUUUCUCCUCCCGUUCCCCGUCCAAACUUGGAAGGGAUACUCUCAUCCCCCUGCCCCGAACUACUUCCAGGAAAUGCUCGCUUUUUCGCCUGGAAGUUUCUCACCUGUAGCCUAGCAUUCUCUACUCGUUGCGCCUUCUCCACUGCAUCGCUGAAAGCGUUAAUUUGGGCUACUGCGAGAUCCUUCUGGAUUUCUACGUUCAGGCCCUGAACAAAUCGCCGUAUUCUUCGUUGCUCGGUCAUAAUGAGUUCGGACGCAAAUUUGGAUAGGCGGGUGAAUUGGCUCUCGUACUCCGCUACAGAUUGGGCCCCCUGACAAAGCCGAAUAAAUUCAUCUUCCUUCCGCUCCUGAACUAGAGGAGGGAAGAAUUUAGCAUUGAAUUCCUGCAUAAAAUUCACCCAGGUCCUGGGCGUUUGUUCCCGCUCCCAUUUUUGCCGAAUUACGUUCCACCAGGAACGGGCCGCCCCUUCUAGUUGAAAGACGGCGAAAAUCACCUGCCUUUCUUCGGUGUAGUGCAGGGCAGCGAAAAUAUCUAUCAUUUUCUCCAGCCACCUUUCGGUGACAUCCGGGUCGGGCCCCCCAAUAAAUUUCGGUGGGGCAAACUUCUGGAAUCUUUCAAGUGCCCUGUCGUCGCUCUCGACGUGGUUGCCAGGGUUUCCAGGAUUAGGGUUUGGGUUUUGGCCCUAUUGGUGCACCACUUGGGCUAGUAAAUUAGUCAUUUGCUGCAUAGCAGCCGCUAUUUGGAUGUUAGGAUCAACCCUAGAUUCAGGGUCAGGGUUAGGUCCAGAUGAGAUUUCCCCAGUGCCCCUUUCAGGCGUGGGUUGCCUACCCCCGCGUCCACGGCCUCGACCACUACGAGUGCCUUCCAUCAAACUAAGUCGAUCUAGGUCACAAAAUAAAUAUACUGUUAAAGGGCACCUAACCCUCCUUUUCGUAGCACUAAACAGGAACAAUUAAACAAGGACAAUUAACUAAAACAACUACCUCGUAGAGCAUUUAAACACAUAACACAUAUACAUAGAACACAUAACCGGAUCAAGCAAUUAUACAGAACAGUCAGUCAAGUACAUACAAAGUUAUCCCAUGAAACAAAAGGGGUCCUCCAAAAGUACUAUAGACAGACUAGGUCACGAGUACAAAAGAACUCACGAAAAACUUUCCCCCCCUAGGGCUCCGUCCAUAAUCUACGAGAACAACACCAUUUAUAUCUUAAUCAAGGUUGAUCACGCUUAACCAUACCCGAACAAACCACACGAAAUUUCAUAGAAUCGUAUUUCUAGUUUGCCCAAUCCUUUCUAACCUAGGCUCUCAUCUCUUUCGUAUCCGGGCGCAAGAAUCCCAUCUAAGAUGAUUCACAACUCGAGCCGGCCUGUCCCAAGCGUAAAUCAUCCAUAUUAAAGAUUCCUACCCGACAUACAUACCUAACUUCCUGAAGUCCCAUGGUAAUGAUCCUUACACUUAUGACAUGCACAGUUCAUAGCUUACGCUCAAAAGAGCACUUAUACCUUUCAACGCAUUCACGAAAGCAGGACCAUAACACCACUUGGCCCAAACUCACUCCGCGCAGAGACCACGCGAAGUAGCUCUGAUACCACCUGUGACAGCCCCACCUUCCCCUAAGGCGAACCAAAGGGGUUAGCGGACUGCCUGCCUAGCUCUCGCCAGGACUAACGGUUCAGUUUAAAGCGAUCUAAUACGUUCCGGAACAUACAACAGCGCGUAAACAAGUCAAAAUGUCAAAAUAAAAAAAUGAAAUCGGAGUCGGCCAUGAAUAGUAAUCGACACGUCAAAAUCCAACCAAACAUCAAGCAAAUAUUUACAUGUUGAAAUUAAGCAUAUACAAUCCAAAGUGGCAUACAAAAGUUAUUCAAAAGUGGAUACAUGUAUGGUUUGCCAAAUCAAAAGAGAAACGGACCCAAAAGUACAUUUAGGGUUUCAAUCAAGGAGCUAUACAAAAGAUAUGUCCAUCUAGCUCAAUUCGGCAACCAACUAUCAAAUUCAGUCCAAAAAUAUUUAUUUUCCUGUAAGGAAAACAAAAGGGAAUAGAGUGAGCUUACGCCCAGUGAGAUAAUACCACUCAAGCAGCAAAGUUCACAUAAGCAUAAAGCUUUUCAUUCCAACUCAUCAAAAGUAAGCAAAGGCACACAUCAAUAGUGGUGAUAAAAGGAUACGGGCGGCUCUCAAGAGCCCUUUUCCUCGUUUGCAUUCUUGAUCGAACCUCAUUGACCCUCCGUCAAUGUUUAAGAGUAACCAACCGUAGGCUCCACUUUACUUCCAUUCCUUCCACCCAACAUACCCCUCCCGGGCCCGAACUCCAAACAGUAGAAAUUUGGUAAUACUCGAGUAUACCGGAAUCAAGAGUCUCACUACUACAAGAUUCCAUAUAACAGUCCCCAUGGCUCGUCAAUUUUCACGACCAAGCCCUCGCCGGCUCGAUCCAAUCGACUACCAAUGGGGUUGAGCUCAGUCGUAUCAGUAAUGGUCGUUGGAUACUCGUCCAAGCGACACCAAAUUCAUAAACCAAUUCAGUAUUUCAUGUAUCAUUCAAUCAUUACAGGAAAACAGUAGACAGUCAUAUGAGAUACCAAAUGGGUGAGGGCGAUCAAGUACACCCUCGCUUAAUUAAGUUCAACGGAGCAAAUAAGCCUUCAAGGCAUCAAGUUCACAUAUACCAAAGCCACAUUGUAAACAACAAGUGAGUGGUACACUCACCAAGCAAGCAAAUGAUAUUUCAUGCACUUCCGCCUAAGAGCGUCUUGCACCACCGUCACGGCCUAGAACAUUCAAAUAAGCAUAAUAAGACUCAAUUACAAGUCAUAACCAAUGCCAAAUACCACCAAAAUAAGGUUCCACUAGAAUGUAUAAGCACUAGAGUAAACCAGGAAAAUCCGGAAAUUGCAUUAAGCUCUAACCCAAAAAAAAUAGUUUUUGACAUCAGUUUGCGGUUUUGGCACCAUUGGCACUACGACUAUCGGAUGGAGGUGUAAGAUACACCGUUUCGAAGCUAAGAGAUAGGGCUACAAUGUUUAAGAAGGAUACUCUGUCCCGUUUCGAGUGUAACCAGGUCAAAAAUGCAAUAUACUACACCAGAACCGAAAAAAUAGGUUCACAAACCGCAUUCUGGUUCAAACAUCAUAAGUCAGGCUACCUAAGUCCAAAUCAAGUAAUUCCAAAGCCAUACGAAAGAUAAGAUACAUGGAUACAAUUCAUCAGAAGGCACCAACAACCAAAUAAGAAGCAUUCCCAACCAAAUUAACCAAUUACUGACGCAAUUAUCAAAUUCGGGUAGAACCAGGGUAGUAGGGGUAUUUCAGUCUUUUCUCAAGGUACGUUGCUCCGAUUGACCUGAAAUUUUGUAGGCGUCUCUAAAAUAUCAUUCCCUACAACUUUCAUGUUUUAACCCAAGGGCAAUUCGGCCUCUAACUAUGAGCUACAGUGCCGGGCAGAAUGUAAGAACAUGAAACCCUAACUUUCCAAAUUUCUUCCAAAACAGAAAUUUCCUGCAAUUAACCACUUUUUCCACCUUCUAGCUUCCUUAAAUAUCAUUUCCAAUCAUCAUACAUGAUCCCAUAAUAAUAAUCAUAUGAAAACAUAAAAAUCACCAAUAAUUAUAAAACUUCACAAAUUUCAUCCAAAAAUCACAAAUAACCACUAAAAUCAUCACUUAAGCUCACAUUAACCACUAAUUAAGCAUUAUUGAAGAGAGAAAAGGAGUUCCUCCACCACUCACCUUGCCAAGUCAAGAAAGAAGCAACUUAACACCUUAAGCUUCCAAACCACUUCACCACCAAGCUUAACUCCACCAAACUAAGAGGUUUUAUGGAGUAAUUGGAAGAUUAAUCGGUUUAAUUGAAGAUUGGGCAAGAUUGAAGACAAGAUUGUGGAGAGUUUUCUUUUCUUUUGUUGCUUGAAGAGGCCGGCCAAGAGAGGGAGAAAAAUGGUGAAUUUUUGGUGAAUUUUGAUAUUAAUUUGGUAAAGGCAUGAAUAGUGGUCAAAAUGGCAAGAUUUAAUCACAUGGUGACACUUGUCACCCCAUUAAAUGCAUGAAUAUCCUUUUGUUCCCUCUCACUCUAAUCCAUAAGGUAUCCUCUAAUUAUCUCCUAGCACCCGAUAAUUUAAGCCCAAUAUCCAAAACUUAACCUAGUUGGCCGAAUUUUUCCGAACUUUUCGCCUUAGUGGGUCCCACGUCCGGUAUACGCUCUUAAUUUCUUAAAAACUAACCAAUACUAGAAAACUCACCUAAAAACUAUAUUUACUCAUAAAAAUUAUCUAGAAACUUUUUGAAUAAAGAAAAUGCAGAAAACAUGCCAGUAACCCGAAUAAAACCUAGAAAAUGGGAAAAAUUUCGGGUUCUCACACCCUUCGCCGGGACCCCUCGCCGGCUCCGGGAUCGGUGUUCUCCAUGGUGCGCUUGGAACGCGUUCUCGCCAUCAACACAACUACACGUACCUUUCGUUUCCCGCAGACGGCGCCAACUGAAGAAGCGAUGAGCUUCCCCGGACCGAGCUGACCUGAUGAGCUCGGCGUGCUGAUGAGAAAAGCGUGUCCAAGCCCUGCAAAAUAAAUGAGAAGAGGUCUAGAGGAUGACUAGCAGGGGAGCCCCGAGGUUGUCCCCGGGAGCACUCCGACGGUCAAGUUAGUCUUCCGGUGAGUGGAAUCCACGAGAAGUAAAACAGUUGGGGGUAAUUUGCCUACGGUGAGCGUGCCUUGUGCAGUGGAUGUGCGUUACCAUUUAUACCUGCUGGUAAGUCCGACCUCCGUACGUUUCGGGACCUGCCCAGAAUAGUCUCAAUCCCGCGCCGAGGGGGAUCUUUCCGCCCUCUGCGGGAUUGUUCUCUGGAACCCCUCAGAGCCCUAGCGGCGGUGUGCCUCAGGACAGUGGCCAUGGGCCUGGGGUCCGAGCCCAGCUCUGGCCUUCCUGGGCUGCCACGUGUCUCGGCUCAGGACGGGGCCUCUGCAGUUUGAAUUGAUAAACGCAAACCCAGGAUCUCUGAUGCAUUUCCACAAUCCUGUGAUGCCAUCUUCCUAAGUAAUAGCCUUUUAAAUGUAGCUGGCAGAAAUGGACAUCUUGACAUGCAAACCAAAGGAAAACAAAACAAAAAGAAAAAAAAAACAAUUAAAAUGAAAAUAUAAAUCCACUUAAGAUAGUGAAAUUUAAGAAAGUAAACGUAAUAUUGAAAGUUAAUGAAUUUUUCUAACGGAUACUUAGUGGUCAAGUUAAUGCUCACUUAAUUUAUACCCAAUAUACCAUAUGAAUACACACCCAAAUUUAUUAUAACCCGUCAUUUAGAUUCUUUCCCUAAUUAACAACUAGGUUACCUAAUGAGUCACCCAGUAGUCAAACUCAUAAUUAACUAUGAAAAGAAAAUUUGAAAAGCUUUCAAUAGAUGGUAUUUGUUUAUGCAUAACACAAUUUUCGGAGAUUUUAAGUCCUUCUGGCCAUGGUAUCCUUUAGUUGCAUCCAGUGUUAGAUGAUGAAAUAUGUGGUCAGUUAAAACUGUUGACCUUGGUUGAUCAGUCCUUGGUUUUGAUGAUUAACAAACCAAAAUGUAGAUUUGGACUAAUGUUUUUAUGUGAGAAAUUUGUUAGAACAGGUCAUUGAUCCAAAAGAGAAUCGAAAAGAUUUGAAUCAAAGAGAAGUUAAGAAAUAUGAAGGUUCGGAUGUAGAGGAUCGGACGUCCGACAGACGACGAUACUCUUCGGACGCUUGGAUCGGACGCUCAUUCAUUACUUCGGCCGUCCGACACAAAAAGAAUGAAAGUUGAACAUUCUAACUUCUAUCGGACGCAGGGUUCGGACGCAGAACAAAUGGUUCGGACGUCCGAUAGGUGGUUCGGACGCAUGGUUCGGACGCAGAGCAAAUGGUUCGGACGUCCGACAGGCCAACGACUAGUUUCGACAGCAUUUAAUAUUUGACCGUUGGAGAGCCUUUUUGGAGCCAUUUCUCACCUUCUAUAAAUACCCCAAAACACAAGAAGACACAGACUUUUGCCAACACUAAAUACAAGCUUACAAGUGAGAUCUUUGAGUAGAAAUAUUCUUUGUUGGUUGUAUAAGGGGUUGGGAAAGUUGGGUUGUGAGGUUGCUCAAGUGAAGGUUACUCUCUAGGAGGAGUAAAACCUUGGUGAAGGUGAACCUAUCACUUGGAGUGGUAAAACCUUGAUAAAGGUUGCCUCACUUGUAUAAAGUAGUUCUUAAUUGAGUGGGUAAGCUUUCAAUUGUAGCUAGUUGAGGGUUUACUUGGAGAGUAAUAAAAUUCCUUUGCUCAACCAAAGUAUGUUUGGGGUGAGGAAGGAGUGAGCCUUCACUUGUACAAGUUGGUUAGCACUACCAUCAAUUGAAGAAGCUAUUUGGUGGAUUCAACUCCAAGUUUGGAAGAAGUUUGGGAGUUUGAUUGGUUUGAAUUUCUUUUACUUUAUUGUUACUCUAUUUUUGUGCUUUAAAAUUGCUUAUAUUCUUUGUCAUUGUAUUUACUUGACUACUUGUCUGGUUGAGUAUUUUGGUUGUAUUUGGUUGCAUCGGGGCUUACAAAAACUAUAACCGCUUAAUUUGCAAUCUACAUUCAGGUUUGUUAGGAUAUGAUACAUAUCAAUUUUGAAAUCUUUAGAAACCAAAAACUAAAUGUUUCUAGUUUCUGCCUGAAUUUCAAAUGGAGCAAAUAGUAUUAGGGUUCGUUUGAUAAAAUUGAAAUCUAAAAACUAAAUUUGAAAUCUAAAAUUUAAAGUUUAAAUUCAUUAAGUUAUUCAAUUGUUAAUUAUUAAAUUUGAUACAAUUGUGUGUAUAUCACAUUAAGUGAUAAGUGAAUAGAUUAUUAUUUAUUUUUGGAAACAAGUUUUGCCUAAAAAAUUCAUUACCACUUAAUUAAUUUAGAUAUUUAAUUUGUGGUUAUCAAACGCAUAUCAGCAUGUUAAGAUCUGAAACCAUUAAAUUUAAAAAUUGAACAUGGGACUCCAUGUUACUGUUCUGAUCUACUACAAUUUAAAAUUUUAAAUUUAUAGUGAAAUUUUACUUUUACGUUCUCACAUAUGAUUGGUUAAUUGAAAAGUUGUCUUCACUUAGAAAAUAGGUAAAACCCAAUUGAUCCAUUAAUUCUUUUUUUUCCUUUUUUUAUUAGAAAAUUUUCAUAAAAUUGCAUCAAUGGCAGAAAAGUAUAUCAAAUCAAACAUUACACAACAACAUACAUAUUUGACAAUUAGUAGAUAAAAAUGGAUCUAAAAAAUCAACACACAUAAAUAGAUAACAUUGAUGCUCCAAUAUAUCGAUGAUCCACUAAUUCUAUUCCAUUCAUUAGACAUGCUAAUUCUAUUCAAUUGCAUAUAUAUUAAUCUUUUUCUAACGAGAAAUGAUAGGAUUUAAAAAGUGAGGAGGGGAAAGGAAGGAUUUGAAAAACUCUAAAUUUUGGGAUUUCAACCAAACAUUAUACGAGUAUUGCAUAUAUAUGAGAAAAAAAAUCAGCGGCGAAAGUUUGAAAACAAAUUAUGCAUUAAAAUCCUAAUUCAUAAUUGUCAUUAAUCAUCACUGAUCAAGAUUAAGCAAAAGUAAUUUUUGGCAGACCAAAACUAUUAAUCAAAGGAUUUUUUUUAAUGAAUGCCCAAUGGACACUUAUUAACACACAUAAAAUUUACCUAAUUUACUAUGUAUAUAUAUAUACUAAUAAUUAUUACCUUAUCUUACAUUUAUGAACUUUUCAUAUUUAAUUUUACUUAUCCUCUGUUGUAUUUAUUUAUUUUAUCUAAUUAAUCUUACACUUAAAAAAUAUGAUAACUGAAAUACCCGGCCCAAUGGAUAUUUCAUUAGACAGACUCUUAAUCACAUAAUAUAAUAACUCUAAAUUUUAUCCAGAAAUAAAAAAUGAAAAACAAGAAUCAACUCUAAAUUUUAUCCCAAAAAAAUAAAUCAUUAUUUGUGCGUUUUAGUUAAUAUAUAAAAAUUCAAACCAUUAAAGUUUAACACGGGUUGGUUUGAUUCACCGGCGAGAUGAGAACGAGUCCAAAUUCUCUAGUACUUCUCAACAACUAUGGAUUAAUGGAAUAUUCCCAGAAUUACAUGUAAAUCCACGGCAACGAUUCUGCAGAAGGUCUCCAUCAUAGUGCUAUAUAAAUGUUUGAAUUGACUGCCAUCCUCAAACAGCCAAAACAAAAGUCAAGAAUAGGAGCUGCGAAAGGGAGGGAC
rnacentral:lncRNA from 1 species